AAGGUACAAGUAUGGUAACCACGGUUAUGCAAUGACGGUGGUUAUUGUGCAAUUCGGCGAGAAAAUUACGACGUUGAAUGGAGCAUGCCAGCUGCCAGGAGCCCAACGUGUCGUGUGUUAUCGUGAGUUCGGAGUGUUGGUGCUCGUGCAUCUCCGUGGCUUCACGUUCGCGAAAGUCGCUGUACUGCGCGCUAUAGCGAUGUGUGCAUCGUCACGCACGUUGAGUGGAAACCCGGUGAGACCGAUCCAUUUUUGGUUUAUUUUUUGUGAUUAUUUGUCAUACGACACUAAUAACCUUGAGAGGCGUCUGUCUCGUUGAUAAGUUGGUGACCUAGUUUUAAUAAAAAAUGAAGAGCGCAAUCCAGUUAAACUCGACCCUAAGUUUAAAGGGCCAUUUUAAGUUCUUGAGUUACUUGAAGGCGAUCGCUAUGUUUUGAAAUCUUUAACUCUUAAUAGAACCUACGAGUAUGUCCACGAUCGCAUUAGAAAGAUGCCCCAAGCUGAGAUUCCAACUGAAUUAGAUUUAGUUGCUGUUGAUUUGGAGGUCGAUGACCCAUGCGAAGGUACAAUGUGUAGCCACACGAGGACGUGUGUAUGUCAGUUAUGGCCGUGUCGGAGAUAGUUAAUAGUACGGUCACUGAACGAGACGCAAGCGCGCCCUCUGGUGGCGUUUUCGGUGAAACAACAAUUUGGCGCGCUUGGCGGAGUCGUGGCGGUCAGCGUGGUGU